GAAGACUGGGAGAAAUUUGCUGUGCGUCUUUCUUUCUGUGAUGUGCACCUCAUUACCAGACUUCCUUCGGGCUACCCUUCCCUCUGAGGUCCAGUGGAGAGAUGACUCAAGACCUUCAAUUUCGUUCAUUCCUGAUUGCUGGUAUUAUAGAUUGCUGGUGUGGAUACCUAAAGAAUUCUUCCAGGACCCGGAGCUAAUCUGUUCAUAAAAGCUUCAAUCACCAUUCUCGUCCACAGUGAGGGUUGUUUCCUGUGAACUUGAUGAUUUUCUGCUUUGCUACCAUUAUUUUUGUUAAUAAU